rnacentral:rRNA from 1 species
AUUGAACGCUGGCGGCAGGCCUAACACAUGCAAGUCGAACGAGUGGCGGACGGGUGAGUAAUGCUUGGGAAUCUGGCUUAUGGAGGGGGAUAACUACGGGAAACUGUAGCUAAUACCGCGUACCAUAGGAUGAGCCCACGUGGGAUUAGGUAGUUGGUGGGGUAAAGGCUCACCAAGCCGACGAUCUCUAGCUGGUCUGAGAGGAUGACCAGCCACACUGGGACUGAGACACGGCCCAGACUCCUACGGGAGGCAGCAGUGGGGAAUAUUGCGCAAUGGGCGCAAGCCUGAUGCAGCCAUGCCGCGUGUAUGAAGAAGGCCUUCGGGUUGUAAAGUUCUUUCGGUAGCGAGGCGUUACCUGCAGAAGAAGCACCGGCUAACUCCGUGCCAGCAGCCGCGGUAAUAC